UUUAGGGACUUUACUGACGGGACUCUGGGCUGGCUGCUCUGUUCACUCGUCAGCGCAAGUGGCGUGACCAUGUAAUUGGGGCACGGGGCCGGCGCGGCGCGCUGCGGGCUUGCAGAAUUUUGUUUGUUUGUUUGGCCGCGCGCUGGCGCAGCCACGGGCCGCAGUUACUGGGGCGCGCUGUCGUAACAAGCCGCGCGGUGUGGCCUGCACAUCGGGGUAGAGGGGGGGUAGUCUUCCCAGAUGUUCUAGUUAGUUGUUUAGUAAAUUUGACUUCAAUAACGAGCUUUUGUUAUGGUAGGCGCGGCAGGGCGCGCGAAUUUAAGCGCAAGUGAGUGGUGACUCGGGGCUCACUCAGGCGGAGGCUAUGCGUCUCACCUGUGGUCACGAGUUGUUAGUUCGUUCGUGAUGUAGGAAUUCAAGCUUUCGGGCGGAAGCUAUGGUCGACGCCAGAGGCCACGAGUCGUUUAAUUUAAGUUAGGUCAUAAUGUAGUCGUCAAGCUUUCGGGCGGAGGCUAUGGCCCUCGUCAGGGGUCACGCGUCAUAGUUUUUAAAAUGUAAUGUUCGUUCGGGAUUUCAAGGGCAGGAGAGGCCCCUACGUUAUUUUUUUAAAGUAAUCGAUCAAGAAAGGCUUUUCGGAAAAUGUGAGUAUGGACUUAUCUUUGUUUUAAUUUUAAGUAUUAAUUAUGAUUUGAGGUAUUCGGAAGGACUAGGGAAGUGUUUAGUGAAGUUCUCUCAUUCUCUCUCUUGUAAGGUCGUUCAAUCGUUAAGGAAGUAAAGAGAUUAUUGUUUUAAAUUGUAAUCCCGCUAUUUAAAUGUUCUUUAAAAUGAUGUUGAGUAUUUGACUUUAAGAAUAAAAUAAUUUUAAUUAAGUAUUAUGUUAUUUUGCAAAAUCUCCUUAGUUCAGCUCUCACCAGACAUCCUGUACGGGAUGACGAACCUAUGAUCCUAGGUACAGUAAAGUAUUUUAUGAAGUUAAGACUAGUUGAUGCCAAGCGAGUUGUUUCUAUGUAAAGAGCUACGAUUCUCUCCCCCCUCUGAAGGUGCACGUGACAGAAAUGGUAGAGUUCGCCGGAUAGGUUCUAUUUCUGGAGAGAGAGAGAGGUAGAUUUUUAUGUUUAUUAUUAAGUUAGUUUCAGCUUCUGAUAGCAGGUUAUUAAGAGUUUACUUGAGGAGAGGAUUACGGAAUUUAAUCUAAGAGGAGGAAGUCUUUGAGAUUUUUUUUUUUUGACGUAACAGAUGUUUAUUUGAGGAUACUUGUAAGGAUAAAGUUUAUAGUGAUAAGUUGUUUUAAGUCGUUGAAUUUAUUGUAGAUUUAUAUCGGGGAUUAUUACGUGAGGAGAAUACGUUAUAAGUUAAAUGCUUAUUAGAGAUAAUGCAAGUGGUUUAAUUUAAUUGAAAUUAAUUUUAAGAUUGUAGGUUAAGAGAGUUAAAAUUUAAAAUAAAGUUUUUUUCGUAAAUAGGAAUUAUUUUCAAGUGAAGUUUGUUUUGUUUUCGUGCGCGUAGGAGACGAGACGUACGAAUUAAAUCAGUCGAGGGAAGGAUAAACGUUAGAAAGGAAUUAAAGAGAAAACGAGAGUUUAUGUAAAAGAGAGUUAUAGAAUUUAUAGUGAUGUUUUGUUUUAAUUAGAAAAAUGUUGAGAGUUGUUUCAGAACGACACGUCAGUGGACGUGGCAGAGUGAACACGUGACGGGGAGGUGCUGAAACCUAGCGGAGAACGGAGGAACCGCAAGCGAGGGUUGGCGCACCUGAUGGAAUUCGGUGACGUCACGGGCUCAUACGGAGACGUGGACAGGCCGUGACCUUGUUUUGAUCAGCUGUACGGUAACUUAGCGAUAAGAAAAUAGACUAUUGGUUUAAUAAAUUUAAAUUUAAGUGUGUUUUAGGAGAAGAGGAACUUUCAGUAUAUUCCUUAAGAUGAGCUGAGCAGCAGUCCAGUUUACAAGAUGACAAGAGUUCGAGAGACAAGAUACAAGAUCACUGAAACAAGAGCCAAGACUGAAGAUUCAAGAGAAGAGAAAGCUGGCAGCCAUGGACUUACAAGUGGAGAUUAAUAAGGUCAUGUAAAGUUUUAUUUUUUUAUGGAAGACAGUAACUGGAGUUUUUUUGUUAUAAACAUUAUUUACAGAACUUUUUAGGUUAUAGUAAUGUAAUGGAACUAGUGAGUUGUGGUAGCUGUCAAAAAGAACUAAUACCUUAAGUUUAAUUUUUAAAGUUAAUUUUCUUAAUUUACAGAGGGAUUAGUAGUUUUUUUUAAAACCUUAUUUAGGUUGGAAUUUAAAUACAAUAGCUUAUUAUAAAUGUGUACGAACAGUUCAAGUUCACAGUACUGAUAGGUAGGUCAGAUGAUCUUAUUGAUUUUGAUGAUUUGUUGUUUUGAGUUGAUUUUUAAGUGUUGUGAAUUAGACAAUGAAAUAGUUCUGAAAACUUAAAUUAUUUCAAGCUAAGAAAUAGUAAAGUUAAUUGUAACUCAAAGGACACCAGAAUUUAAUUUUUUUUUGAAUUAGUAAUGUUUGAAAAUUUUAUACUUUACAAGAAAGGUUAUAAACAAACAGAUCGGAUGGAACAAGGAUGCAGUAAAUCACAAUUUCAUUUAGAAUUAUUGAUUUGCUUUUGAGGUUAUGAAGGAAAAGUAGCUAUAAUUUAAAAAUUUGAAUAAAAAUGGUUUUUUUUAAUUUGUUUGAAAUAGAAAAUUUAAAAGUUAAUUAGUCAUGAUCUAGGUGGGUGAUGGGGUGGGAAUUGGCCACUCUUUUUCCCUAUAACCUCCCUAACAUGGCCUUCUAUUACAUCUAACAGAAAAAAAAAAGAAGAAAAAGAAGACUUAUUAUUAGUUAGAAUGUUUCUUUCAUGAAGAUACCUGAUGAACUUUUACUGUCUGGAAGAAUAGAAGCAAGGUUAGUCAGAUAUUUUUACUCAGAAGAAGAAGAAGAUAAAGCAGUUUUAUGACUCGACAAGCCAGAGAUUGGUGUUUCCCCUCUGCGCUUCUAUUGACUACGUUGUUUACUCUCAUGGGAUAGCUGGUUCGGCACCAUGGAGAGAGAUUGGUGGGCAUUGUGGUUGCCCCCAGAAGAAAAGAAGAGUAGAAGAGGUUAUGGGUGGGUCAUGUGAACUGACCUUCAACCCAGUUACUUCGUGGGGACUAUUUGCUGUAUAGAGAAGAUCAAGACUCAAGAGGUAGGGAAAAUCAUUGGAGGUCAUGUUUCCCUUCCUUAAGUUUUUCCUAUCAAAUUAUUUGCCUGAUUAGAUUAUGCUAAGGGUGGGAUACUUUAUGUUAGCAGUUGAAUUAAUUAAUUUUAUUUUUUUGUGUGUUUGCAUCCUUGCCCAUCGAUUGCAGUUUAGUAGUUAGUUUUGUAUUUGUCAGGCGUGAUGGUAAUGCCUGUUGAUGAUGUUUCAGAAUUGUAAUCUGUUCGUGAUGGGGAUGGCACAACUCCGAAGCAGAUGUGGGGAGAAGUUGUGAGCUGCCCUGGAAGCCAGUCCAGUAGCUGUUGGAGUUGAGUGGUGUUUGCUGAUGGCCAGCCCAGGGAGCUACUCUUCUCGACAACACUGACUUCGAGGAGUUGCACCAACCUUCACGAGAUAAGAGUUUAAUUAAUUGAAACACUGUAAGGACACUUAAUUUUUUUUGAAGAACGAAAGAAGUAUGGUAAUAAACGGAAACCGAAAAAAAAAAAAAAAAAAAUAA